UUUUUUCUCUUUUUUGGUUUGCUAUAAUGUCUUGAGAGUGGAAAACAAGGAAUAGGAGUGAAGAGCCAGAGAAAGAGACUUGCCAUGCCAUGGAGGAAAUAACCUCGAUUCACCAUAUGUUCAGAAGCUGGAAAGAACCUUCAAACACAGGGAAAUUUAGGAUAUGAUUUUAUUUUAUAAUUAUUUAUCCCAUUUAUUUAUUUUUUAGCUUUUUGAUUUAUAAUAGAAAACCUCAUAAUGACCUUUAACUACUUAGAAAUAGGUACUCUACUCAAUACCACCAAAGGUAUAGGAAAAAAAAAAUUGUGAAAAAUUUAAAUGGACCCAAAAAAUCAUGGAUGUCCUGUUUAGGUCACCCUUCUGGGUUACCUCAGUCUUUCAUUGUUUUUGAGAUAUUUUACAACUCUAAGUGUAGACACUGAUAACAAGGCAAAUGAUUCUUAUCUAUAGAAAUUAAUUUUAUCAGUAAAAUAUAAUCGAUUGUUGCCCUACAGGUAAACCUAUUUUGAGUUUAUUUUUAAAUUUAUUUCAGCUUACCUUAUUUGCCUGUAUAUGUGUUUCUUUGAAUUUUCCUUUGAGCCAUUUGUAACAUCUUACUGGUUUCCUUAUUACUUAUGAGCUAAGUAGGAUCUUUGACAUGUAUUCAUGUUUCAAAAUUUAUUGUAUAUCAUUUCUGCAAGUCAUCCACCAAGAUGCCCAAUGAAUUCACUUGAUAGGAACAGGUAAAUGUGUUGUCAGAGAAGCAUUUCUCAGGAGCAGUUUGAGCCCAGGUAUAUAUUUUCUUGGCUCUCAGGGGUGAAAUCCAAGUGAACUUGAACUUCGAUAUUUCUCUAGUUUUUGUUUGUUUACUUUUCUUUCCUUUUUUCCCAUCUCUCAGCUGAUAUCGUAUUUUCCUUUAGGUUUUGGUUUGCUCACACAUCUGAUGUUAUACACCACUGAUGGCAACAAUGAUCAGGAAUUUGGUAUCAUGGUCUGACCAUUUGAUGAUCAACAAUUGAUGUAAUGAAUUAAUGGUUAUAGAGAUUUAUGAGCUGUUGAGUGAGAGCCAGCAGAGAAAGUGGUUUGUUAAUCUUUUUGUUUGUUGUUUAUAUGUUUGAUUAAUUUGAGGUCAAACCAAUUAAGUAUUUUAUGCCUACCAGGAAGGAAAACAGCUCUUUAAUAUCUGAACUGGGAUAUAAUUAGACAAAUUGAUUGUGCAACCAAGGCCUUCCCUGGAGUUCUGUAUUUGAGGAUAAUUUGCAUUGAGUCAGGUAUGACCGCCACUUUUAAAGACGUAAGGCUACUUUAUUUAUGGAUCCAAUGUCUACAAAGCCCUGCCAGAAAAAUGAGGCUGGUGUCAGGCCUAUAGGGUCCCAGCCUACAGAUAGUCAAGAAGGGCAUUUGUGGCAAGCCUGGAACCUUGGCAAAUGUGGAGGACCUCAACAAGACAGGAAUGCACUCACAUUUAUAGGUGAAGAGAGAACAGAGGCAGAUACUGGAAAAGCCCUUUCUGCAAUGGGCUAAAGAAAGGAGAGUAAAUGGAAAGGUGGCUAUUGCAGAAUAGCUGAGAUGAUGGCGCAAAAAGGGAUUAAAGAGUCAACCAGAGCAGCUAAAAGAAGGCAAAUUUGUAACUUUCAGGAAUGUCCUGGAAUCAGGGGCCAACAUUCCACUAACGUGGCAGUCUAUCAAGUAAAGACAACUAACAAGCGUUGGAGUUGGGCAGCCCUCUGCAGUGGAACUAGAAUAGGAACAGGAAUCAGAACCCUGUGUUUGGCACUGGCUUUGCCCGUCUGUAGGUGUGCUGGAAGUCAAACUUUAAGCCAUAUUUAUUAUUUGAUGUCAGAUUUUAGUGAAGUGAUAUUUCAAAAAGACAUAAAUUUUUUAAAUGCUUUUAAAAUGUAAAUAAUUCAUCUGUUAAUUGCUGUCUCCCAGUAUUUUCAUGUUUAUAAGUGCAAAAUAUAGACAAU